rnacentral:rRNA from 1 species
UACGUAGGUGGCAAGCGUUACUCGGAAUCACUGGGCGUAAAGCGCAGGUAGGCGGUUGGGUAAGUUUCUUGUGAAAGCUCCUGGCUUAACUGGGAGAGGUCAAGGAAUACUGUCUGACUUGAGUGUGGUAGGGGUAACUGGAAUUCCCGGUGUAGCGGUGAAAUGCGUAGAUAUCGGGAGGAAUACCUAUGGCGAAGGCAGGUUACUGGGCCAUCACUGACGCUGAGCUGCGAAAGCUAGGGGAGCAAACAGG